CCUACGGGAGGCAGCAGUGAGGAAUAUUGGUCAAUGGGCGGGAGCCUGAACCAGCCAAGUCGCGUGAGGGAAGACGGUCCUAUGGAUUGUAAACCUCUUUAGGCGGGGAGCAAUGCCGGGCACGUGUGCCCGGAGGGAGAGUACCCGCAGAAUAAGCAUCGGCUAACUCCGUGCCAGCAGCGGCGGUAAUACGGAGGAUGCGAGCGUUAUCCGGAUGUAUUGGGUUUAAAGGGUGCGUAGGCGGAUUUUUAAGUCAGCGGUAAAAUGUCCGGGCUCAACCCGGGCCGGCCGUUGAAACUGGGGAUCUUGAGUGGGCGAGAAGGAUGCGGAAUGCGUGGUGUAGCGGUGAAAUGCAUAGAUAUCACGCAGAACUCCGAUUGCGAAGGCAGCAUACCGGCGCCCGACUGACGCUGAGGCACGAAAGCGUGGGGAUCGAACAGGAUUAGAUACCCUAGUAGUC
rnacentral:rRNA from 1 species